AUGUUUUAUGUAAGUCAUAGUGAACUCUUCACACGAUCAGUGAACAGCAGACAGCUGAUCUGUGUUUAUUCACUCAAGACUGAACCUGAGAUCAGAUCACCACACAGUGACACAUACACCUUCAGAGACACAGUCACCAUCAGAGAUCUUCCUCAGGCCAAGUUGAGAGCGUCUGCUUCAGUUAUUCUGGAAACAGACACAGUUGAGCUGAGCUGUGAGAAUACUGAAGAUCUGAAGAUGGAGAAGUGUUUCUUCAACAUAAAUGGAAGAGAAAGUAACUCAAAACAGAGCUCAUCAUGUCAGCUCUCACUCACUGGAUCUCAGAUCAGUGUUUGGUCUGGAGGUCAGAGUUCAUCUGUGAGAAUAAGCUGCUUCUACACUGUGAAUUUGUCACAAGUUCAAAAACCAUCUGCUCACUCUGAUCCAGUGACAGUAACAGUCAACAUUUCAACAUCAAUAUCCCCUCAAAAAACUUCACAACUGGACUCUGUCAUUUCCACGUCUGAAACCCCAGUGUACCGCACAACAGGUAACUUACUGCAUCUUUUCUAAAUAUAAGUAUUAUGUCAUAUAUAAGGAAAAUUCUUCUUUUUAUGCAACUUCAAAUACUAAAACACUGCUGUAUAAAAUCCUCAUAAUGCAUCAAUCCAGUGUGAUUUUAUUUGAGGUCUUUUCUGAUGCUGAUUGUCCUCAUGUUUACAUUUUCAGUGGUCCAUACUAUUGUCAGGUGGACUAAUGUAUCUACAGUAACCAUAUUAAACAUCAUAAUACACAUGUACAUGGAUUAAAGCGUUGAUUUUUGUUUUGACAGAUCUAUGGUUUAUAGUGCUGGUUUUUACUUGUGUUGCUGUCAUUUUGUCCGGACUCAUGGGACUCAGCUGUCUCUGCGUGUUUGCAGGUAUUUCAAUGUCAAUUUAUUUAUAAAACAACAGAUAGUCAGCCAAAGUGAUGUACAGGAAUAAAAACUUAUAUAAUACUGAUUCUCA
ensembl:lncRNA